GGGCGAUUAGCUCAGUUGGUUCAGAGCGCCUGCCUUACAAGCAGGAAGUCGGGGGUUCGACUCCCUCAUCGCCCACAA
rnacentral:tRNA from 1 species